UCAUAAACACACACAAUCUUUAUCUAACAAAACAUCUAAAUUACUAUUAGCGAAAUAUAACACUAUUUAAUAUUAACCGUAAGGGACUUAACAGAACCCACAGUAGGCCUUCACUCCCGUACCUUUUGCAUCAUGGUUUAGCAAGCCAAAAAUUUAUAAUUACACCCCGAAAUCGAAGAUAGCUGAUUUGUUUCUGCUAAGAACUUAAGUUUAUUUAUUGCAUCAAAUUCCCAAGAAAACUAAUCAGCGGCUACAUACCCCGCACUCGAUUAUAGCUGGUUUUCCUUAAACAUUAUCUCAGUAAAGCAAUUAUUAUAUAAUAUGUUAACAUAUAAAGGAAAAGCUUUAUAUGGACUACCAUUAAUAAACAACUCUAUACCAUUAGUAGGCCUAUAAGUAGCCAUCUUAAUAAAGUGUUAUAACUAACUACCUCAUAGAAUAAUAUUUAUUCCCCAUGUUUUAUAUAAAGGAAAAUUUAGACUAAUUUCCCUCUAAACUUAUUAUGCUAAAAUUAGUAUUCUUAUUUUUAUUAUUUUGCUCAUAAAACACCCUAUAAUAUUAUAUAAUAUAAUAUCUUGAAAAGGAACUCGGCAAAUUCUAAUCUCAACUGUUUAUCAAAAACAUUGCCUCCUGUUUACCCUAUAGGAGGUACAUCCUGCCCAGUGAUUCAUUAAACGGCCGCGGUACCCUGACCGUGCAAAGGUAGCAUAAUCAUUUGCCUUUUAAUUGGAGGCUAGUAUGAACGGACAAAUGAGGAUUAAGCUGUCUCUUCAAGAAAAAUAAAAAUUAAACCUCAGGUGAAGAUGCCUGAAUAAAAAUAAAAGACAAGAAGACCCUAUUGAGCUUGACUCCAACCUUACAUAUAUUAAUAUUUUUAUUUAACUAUCUAAAGGAGCGAGUUUGGUUGGGGCGACACAGGAAAACAAAAAUCUUCCUCUUCAAUUUAAAGUCUAUUGACUUCAAUGAUCCGAUUCAUUCGACUAAAAGAAAAAGCUACCAUAGGGAUAACAGACUAAUCCUUCUAAAGAGCCCACAUUGAUAGAAGGGAUUGGCACCUCGAUGUUGGCUUAGAACACCCCCUCGGUGCAGCCGCCGAGAAAGGUUGGUUUGUUCAACCAUAAAAAUUCUACAUGAGCUGAGUUCAGACCGGCGUAAGCCAGGUUAGCUUCUAUCUUUAUUUUAAAAACCUUUAUUUAGUAGUACGAAAGGACCCUAAAAUAAAAAAUAAUUUUACACACUUGAAUCCAUCUAACGAUAAAUAACUUCUUAUAAAGCC
rnacentral:rRNA from 2 species